CGGCGGGUGCAAGCGUUAAUCGGAAUUACUGGGCGUAAAGCGCACGCAGGCGGUUUGUUAAGUCAGAUGUGAAGCCCCGGGCUCAACAUGGGAACUGCAUUUGAAACUGGCAAGCUAGAGUCUCGUAGAGGGGGGUAGAAUUCCAGGUGUAGCGGUGAAAUGCGUAGAGAUCUGGAGGAAUACCGGUGGCGAAGGCGGCCCCCUGGACGAAGACUGACGCUCAGAUGCGAAAGCGUGGGGAGCCCCCCUUUUAAUAUCCUUUUCCCCCCCGCUUACCCCCCCCCCAAACCCC
rnacentral:rRNA from 1 species